rnacentral:rRNA from 1 species
GUUGAUCCUACCAGCAGUUAUACUCUUGCUUUGGAGAUUAAGCCAUGCAUGCGUGUGUUAAUAGCACUAHNAACAACUCAUUAUAAAUCGUGUACGAAAUCGAGCACWGCGAGAACGUAACCACUGUAACUCGGUGSCUAAAACCUUGAAGGGCUUUUUGUUAAGCAUAAUCCUUACGAACUMUCGAGACGACACGAAAUCMAUCAGCUAGACCGUCGGGUAGAGGCCGACGGUGACNAUCACGGGUAACGGGGGAUUAGGGUUCGAUUCCGGAGAGGGAGCCUGAGAAACGGCUACCACAUCUAAGGAUGGCAGCAUGGCGCAGUAAAUUA